GUCGAGAAUCUUUCACAAUGGGGGCAACCCUGAUGGAGCGACGCCGCGUGGAGGAUAAGGUCUUCGGAUUGUAAACUCCUGUCAUGCGUGAACAAGGUUGCUUGGUUAAUACCUGGGCAAAUUGAUGGUAACGCAAGAGGAAGAGACGGCUAACUCUGUGCCAGCAGCCGCGGUAAUACAGAGGUCUCAAGCGUUGUUCGGAAUCACUGGGCGUAAAGGGUGCGUAGGUGGCGUGGUAAGUCAGAUGGGAAAGCCCGGGGCUCAACCUCGGAACUGCAUCCGAUACUGCCAUGCUAGAGUACUGGAGAGGUGACUAGAAUUCUCGGUGUAGCAGUGAAAUGCGUAGAUAUCGAGAGGAAUACCAAAGGCGUAGGCAGGUCACUGGACAGUUACUGACACUGAGGCACGAAGGCCAGGGGAGCGAACGGGAUUAGAAACCCGGGUAGUCC
rnacentral:rRNA from 1 species